UUGUGGUUCUGGAACUUGCGGCAGUGGAAAAAGUAUUUUUUGGACUCCCCUGUUGGUUCCACGAUUUUAGAGAAUUUAUAGAGGCGGAGUUAGGUCAAACGGAGCCUCGUGGGCCCCACAAGCCACUAGGGUGCACUGAAACACCCCCCUGUUGGUUCCCCGUCUCUCCUCAAAAUGGGUGUGGCACACUGAAACACCAUAGGUAAAAAUUGACAGCAUCGACUUCACUUGAAACUUGUUUUGACAACACUUGUUUCUUCGGGGAGUGACUACAAUAGAAGAAGGGCCACCGGUGCAAAAAUAGAAAAAAUCUGUCCGGGCCAUUAGAUCCCGGCUGAAUGGUCCAGAUUCUAGUGGAUGGAUCUGAGCGCACUGGUGCUAGGUACUUUGCAGAAAACACCCUUGGUUAUAGUUGUUUUGCUUUCAGGAUCAUCUUCUCCACCGUAGGAACGCAACAGAGCAGGACCAAAUCCCCCAACGUGUGGCCGCCUACUCUUGGACAAGCCCUGCCGACGGUAGCGGCGGGCCAGAUCCGGUGCCUAGCCGGGAGAUUGCGGCCAGUGGAGGUCCAGAUCCAGCACUGCGCCGUCUUGUCGCCGGCGGUCUGGCUGCCCCGACGGACCUCCCAUGUUUUAAGCUGCGGCCUUGUGCGGACAAGUUCUCCAAGGUACUCUGCUCCGACGUCCAGUGGACAACCUCGCUCCAUCCUUUUUCCUACCCAACCAGACCAUUCUCCACAUGUCGCCUGCACCCCUGCCCGUCUAGCUCCGGCAUCUGGGAACGCCUGAGAAGAAAACUACAGCCAGCCUUCUGGUAUGCUUGUCUGCCAGGUUGCUACGAGUUUUCAUAGUUAAUUCUGUAGCAUUUCAUUUCGAAAAUAUUUUGUUCAACUAUCCAUAUCAUCUACACCAUAUUUUGGUCCUUCAUCCCUGAAAGUACUUUUGCUUUGAAAAGAGUGUGCUUGGAGCAUAGUAGUAUGUUGUAUCGUUGUUGGAUGUUGUAUAAUUCUGCAUCUUUGGAAAUGAUAUGAGUGACAACAUUUUGAAAAUUCUAAGCAUAUGCACAUUUAGUUUAGAUUAACAUAUUUUUAUCGUUAGUAGCAGUAGCUUGGAAGCUUACAAUUAUUUUUGGGCAAAGGCUAUAUUCAGAAGUAUGCUUGAGUAGUACAGUAGCAAACCCACUAGUAUAGUAGUGUGUACACACAUUUCUCUAUACCAAAUUCAGUUAAUUUUGAGAGACCUUUAUCCAGUGUUGAUUAGCCAUAACAAAAAAACACAAUGUGUGCUUACUUCAAAAUUUGGACUGGCCAACUAGUUUGUGCUCAUCUGGGUUAUGCUUGCUUUCAACUUGAGAGCAAUGACAAGGAUAUCCCUCUGUAUGUUUGCCUGUGAGGUUGCAACUAAUUUUUCUUAGUUGAUUAUGUAACAUUUAUUUAGGAAAUCAUUUUUGUUCAAUAUCUGUACUGCAAACAAUAUCCCUCUGUAUGCUUGCCUGUGUGUGUAUGUAGAAAAGAAGACAUUCUUUUUUCCUUAAAAAAAGACAUUCUUUCUGUGUAUUUUUAAUUUCCAAAAAGGGCACUUGCUCUAGAAUAAAGGGACGCAGGAAUAGUGUGAGGAGUUCAGCUAGAAGAAAAGAAGACCUGGAAUUCAUCAAAAAGACGCAUGCAAGUGCAGCAUUUGUAAGGGAGUGGCGUUCCAUGAUGCAAGGACAUGCUCUAAGAAACAAAUGACACAACAGUAGAGAUGCGCUCUCACAACCGGAAACAUCAGGACUACAGAUGGAUAGAAGAAGCUUUUAUCAAAGUCUUCCCUUUCUGACAAUUGAGAGAAUUUCUCUGCAAGAUAAAUUUAACUCCGUUCUUGAUCAUGCAUCUGUAUGUGCCUGUGCUCAACUGAAUUGGGUUUGCUUGGUGUGAUCUUUCCCAGAACAAGAAGCUUCAUGAGCAAGUAGUAGAAUUGGAGGGAAAGGGUAGAGCUUUUCUGUUAUGUACCAUCAAGAUAUUAGUCCUUAAUACUCUGUUUUGCUGGCCAUGUACUAAAAAUGGUGCUACCAUGCCUCAUCAAGAUAUGUAUAUGCUUGUGAUAUGCUCAAUCUGGGAUGGUCCAGUUUGAUGUUUUGUUAUGCUUCAAAAGGUGACUAAA